rnacentral:rRNA from 1 species
UGAGGAAUAUUGGUCAAUGGACGGAAGUCUGAACCAGCCAAGUAGCGUGCAGGAUGACGGCCCUAUGGGUUGUAAACUGCUUUUAUACGGGGAUAAAGUUAGGGACGUGUCCCUAUUUGCAGGUACCGUAUGAAUAAGGACCGGCUAAUUCCGUGCCAGCAGCCGCGGUAAUACGGAAGGUCCGGGCGUUAUCCGGAUUUAUUGGGUUUAAAGGGAGCGUAGGCUGUCUAUUAAGCGUGUUGUGAAAUUUACCGGCUCAACCGGUGGCUUGCAGCGCGAACUGGUCGACUUGAGUAUGCAGGAAGUAGGCGGAAUUCAUGGUGUAGCGGUGAAAUGCUUAGAUAUCAUGACGAACUCCGAUUGCGCAGGCAGCUUACUGUAGCAUAACUGACGCUGAUGCUCGAAAGUGCGGGUAUCAAACAGG